UACGGGGGGGGCAAGCGUUGUUCGGAAUUACUGGGCGUAAAGCGCGCGUAGGCGGCUUUUCAAGUCAGACGUGAAAGCCCCAGGCUUAACCUGGGAAUUGCGUUUGAUACUGUUAAGCUAGAGUGUGGAAGGGGCUACUGGAAUUCCGUGUGUAGCGGUGAAAUGCGUAGAUAUACGGAGGAACACCAGCGGCGAAGGCGACUCACUGGACACAUAUUGACGCUGAGGUGCGAAAGCGUGGGGAGCAAACGGG
rnacentral:rRNA from 1 species